GAUGAACGCUGGCGGCGUGCUUAACACAUGCAAGUCGAACGGUGAAGGCGGAGCUUGCUCUGCUGGAUCAGUGGCGAACGGGUGAGUAACACGUGAGCAAUCUGCCCCUGACUCUGGGAUAAGCGCUGGAAACGGCGUCUAAUACUGGAUACGAGCUGCGAAGGCAUCUUCAGCAGCUGGAAAGAAUUUCGGUCAGGGAUGAGCUCGCGGCCUAUCAGCUUGUUGGUGAGGUAACGGCUCACCAAGGCGUCGACGGGUAGCCGGCCUGAGAGGGUGACCGGCCACACUGGGACUGGGACACGGCCCAGACUCCUACGGGAGGCAGCAGUGGGGAAUAUUGCACAAUGGGCGAAAGCCUGAUGCAGCAACGCCGCGUGAGGGACGACGGCCUUCGGGUUGUAAACCUCUUUUAGCAGGGAAGAAGCGAAAGUGACGGUACCUGCAGAAAAAGCGCCGGCUAACUACGUG
rnacentral:rRNA from 1 species